rnacentral:rRNA from 1 species
AUUGAACGCUGGCGGCAGGCCUAACACAUGCAAGUCGAACGAGUGGCGGACGGGUGAGUAAUGUCUGGGAAACUGCCUGAUGGAGGGGGAUAACUGAUGGAAACGGUCGCUAAUACCGCAUACCAUCAGAUGUGCCCAGAUGGGAUUAGCUAGUUGGUGGGGUAAAGGCGCACCAAGGCGACGAUCACUAGCUGGUCUGAGAGGAUGACCAGCAACACUGGAACGGAGACACGGUCCAGACUCCUACGGGAGGCAGCAGUGGGGAAUAUGGGACAAUGGGCGAAAGCCGGAUGAAGCCAGGCGGCGUGUAUGAAGAAGGCCGUGGGGUUGAAAAGUACUUUCAGCGGGGAGGCAUUACCCGCAGAAGAAGCGCCGGCUAACUCCGUGCCAGCAGCCGCGGUAAUUC